CUGAAAUCCAAACUCGUGAUACAACUGAGUGUGUCAUGUGUCUUCACUCAACAAAACAAAACAAAAAUGGCACGCGUGUGGUUGAAGUGAGCAGAAGCUUGCAGAUCAAAAUCGCAGAUCUUUUUCGCCGAAAGCUGGGAAAUACGUUUUCCGGUGGAGAAACGUAGCGGCGAAAUCGUCGAAGAGGAAGUCGACAAAACGUCCGGCCUAGUUCCUCAGCCACGAUUGCGACCACGAAACAGCUGCUUCCGCUGGAAGAGCAGAAGCUACCAUUCGAAUUCAUUCCCAUCAUCACCACACAGUAGGAAGUUUAUUUUUCUUCUCCCACGGCACAAGAGCACCCGGCAGCCGACGUGGCACAGCGGUCACAAUUGGUCAGGGAAGAUAUGCUGAUGGCUCGAAUGUUCGCCGAAACAAAUCAUAACCAAUUAGAAUGCGUACUUUCUUGCUGUGAUUUCGUGUCCCAAACCAAACGGAACCAGUUUUUUCUAUUAUAAAAUAUGCUCCGGUAAAAAAGUGCCAGAGUCAACAUGGAUACGUGGAUACUAACACUUCCGGCAUUCUGUCGAAUCCGGGCCAGUGGAAACGACGAGAAAUUCUUCGGUUGAAAUCGCUCAAAAACAGAAAGCUCUGCAGGCACGUCUUCAGCUGCCAUCGUUGUCAUCGGACUCCCGGACAAGUGGUUGGGGGUCGUGCGAGCCCGGUCAGGAUAUGCUUGCAGGAAUUCAGGAACGGAAGAAUCUAUUUUCCAGAGUAAACCUGGACUGAUGAUUCGAAUGGUAAUGGCGGUUCCAAAUGAAAGCAUUCUUGACUUGGAUCGGAACUAUAACCGUUGAUGGAACGCAUUCAAAGUGGAAUGCCCAAAGGAAGAACAGUCAGCUGAAGGCGGAACAUGCAACUAUUGCCAAACAGCAAUAUUCAAGCUUCCCAGCAUCAAUCGAUUCAUAAUGUCACCAGGUGUACCACUAUCACCAUCAACAGCAGCAACAGUAGGCAUAACUCUGGCGGAAGGAGAAUAUUCAACGUUCUGGGUCAUCUGGUAAAAUCGAUCACGACGAAACAGCUACCUUCAGUUAUUAUUGAUUUAAAAUUCUGGAAUAAAAUCCGAUGAACGAAAUGAAACCAGCAGCAGUGUUCAAUGGUCAUCAAACGCAGCAAGAAAUCCACUUCCAACUGAAUAGAUAAGUUCGCCAAUCGACAACAGGAGCCGAAAACCAUUCCAUCGGUACAGCGGGAAUACUACCUUGGCAUUGUUUACUGGAACUGUUUCUGUAGGAUCCGAAACUGUAUUGUAUUUUCAAAAAUUUAGUGGUUUUCCCUGCUCGAAUGCU